rnacentral:rRNA from 1 species
CAGUCGCCGCGGUAAUACGUAGGGCGCAAGCGUUAUCCGGAAUUAUUGGGCGUAAAGAGCUCGUAGGCGGUUUGUCGCGUCUGCCGUGAAAGUCCGGGGCUCAACCCCGGAUCUGCGGUGGGUACGGGCAGACUAGAGUGAUGUAGGGGAGACUGGAAUUCCUGGUGUAGCGGUGAAAUGCGCAGAUAUCAGGAGGAACACCGAUGGCGAAGGCAGGUCUCUGGGCAUUAACUGACGCUGAGGAGCGAAAGCAUGGGGAGCGAACAGGAUUAGAUACCCCUGUAGUCCCUGUCUCUUAUAU